rnacentral:rRNA from 1 species
GAUGAACGCUGGCGGCGUGCCUAAUACAUGCAAGUCGAGCGAACAGACGAGGAGCUUGCUCCUCUGACGUUAGCGGCGGACGGGUGAGUAACACGUGGAUAACCUACCUAUAAGACUGGGAUAACUUCGGGAAACCGGAGCUAAUACCGGAUAAUAUCUUGAACCGCAUGGUUCAAUAGUGAAAGACGGUUUUGCUGUCACUUAUAGAUGGAUCCGCGCCGCAUGAGCUGGUUGGUAAGGUAACGGCUUACCAAGGCAACGAUGCGUAGCCGACGUGAGAGGGUGAUCGGCCACACUGGAACGGAGACACGCUCCAUACUCCUGCGGUAGGCAGCAGUAGGGAACGUUGCGCAAUGGGCGAGAGCUUGACGGAACGAGCCCGCGUGAGUGGCAAGGGUGUCCGGAGCGUAAAACUCGGUUACUGGGGAAGAACAAAUUUGUAAGUAACUAUGCACGUCGUGACGGUACCGGAUCAGAAAGCCACGGCUAACUACGUG